rnacentral:rRNA from 1 species
UACGUAGGGUGCAAGCGUUGUCCGGAAUUAUUGGGCGUAAAGAGCUCGUAGGCGGCUCGUCGCGUCGACCGUGAAAACCCGCGGCUUAACUGCGGGCUUGCGGUUGAUACGGGCGGGCUAGAGUUCGGUAGGGGAGACUGGAAUUUACGGUGUAGCGGUGAAAUGCGUAGAUAUCGUAAGGAAGACCAGUGGCGAAGGCGGGUCUCUGGACAGUUCCUGACGCUGAGGCACGAAGGUCAGGGAGCAAACGGG